AUACUACUGAAGAGUCCCAAACUAGGACGAAACAGUUGUCCAGUAC
rfam:Trichobilharzia regenti genome assembly, scaffold: TRE_scaffold0023143